GAUGAACGCUGGCGGCGUGCUUAACACAUGCAAGUCGAACGAAGCACUUAAACCUGAUUCUUCGGAUGAAGGUUUUUGUGACUGAGUGGCGGACGGGUGAGUAACGCGUGGGUAACCUGCCUCAUACAGGGGGAUAACAGUUAGAAAUGAAUGCUAAUACCGCAUAAGACCACAGAGCCGCAUGGCUCAGUGGGACAAACUCCGGUGGUAUGAAAUGGUACCGAGUCUGAUUAGGUAGUUGGUGGGGUAACGGCCUACCAAGCCAACGAUCAGUAGCCGACCUGAGAGGGUGACCGGCCACAUUGGGACUGAGACACGGCCCAAACUCCUACGGGAGGCAGCAGUGGGGAAUAUUGCACAAUGGGGGAAACCCUGAUGCAGCGACGCCGCGUGAGCGAAGAAGUAUUUCGGUAUGUAAAGCUCUAUCAGCAGGGAAGAAAACGACGGUACCUGACUAAGAAGCACCGGCUAAAUACGUGCCAGCAGCCGCCGUAACAC
rnacentral:rRNA from 1 species